rfam:Rattus norvegicus chromosome 9, whole genome shotgun sequence.
GGGGAUUUGGCUCAGUGGUAGAGUGCUUGCCUAGCAAGUGCAAGGCCCUGGGUUCGAUCCCCAGCUCCG